CGCCUGGCAGGUUUGCUCCGUGUAUAGCUCUUUCAAACCGCAAGUACCAUUCUGUGGUCUUCGUUUUUUGCGGGGAAAUUUAAAUGAGAAGAGCAGAUACCAGCCAUCCGUUCGUGUUGUACUUGGAAUUGUUUUGAAGAGGUGAACCAGAAUUGUUAAUCAAUACCAACAGGCAAGAUGAGAGGAUCAGCAAGUGUAAGUCGAACUCUAACAGCAACGACUGCCAGUUUGAGGAAUAGCACUAGCUUCAAAUUCAGGUCUCAAUCCCAUCGCGAAAUUAUCGCUCUCCCAUCAUCCACCAAGUCCAAAACUUCCAAAUCGAUAUCGGUGAGAGCCGCCAACAACGAGAAAGACGACGGAAAAGAAAAUAACGAAGCCACAAGAACACAAAAGCAACCCCUAAGUUUGGAGGACGUAAACCCUGUGGGUCUAGGGAGGAAGUCGAGGCAGAUAUUCGACGAAGUGUGGAGGAAGUUCUCCGGGUUGGGCCAGAUAUCCAGGACUACACGUCCCGAUGACAAGGAGGCUUUGGAUGCAUUGCUCAUAAGGGAGGGUCCCAUGUGCGAGUUCGCCAUUCCUGGUGCUCAGAAUACCACUGUGCUUGUGGUUGGAGGCACCAGCCGCAUUGGUCGUAUUGUUGUUAGAAAGCUUAUGCUCAGGGGUUACACUGUCAAGGUACUGGUAAGAAAGACUGAUCAGGAAGUGAUCGACUCGCUCCCAAGGUCAGUGGAGAUUGUGAAUGGAGACGUGGGCGAUCCCUCCACCCUUUGGGCUGCUGUGGAAGGUUGCAACAAAAUUAUCUAUUGUGCCACUGCUCGAUCUGCCAUUACCGGCGAUCUCUUCAGAGUUGAUCACCAAGGCGUAUCAAACCUGACCAAAGCGUUCCAGGACUAUAAUAACAAACUAGCUCAACUUAGAGCAGGAAAAAGCAGCAAAAGUAAACUUUUGCUUGCAAAGUUCAAAUCUCCAGAUUCAUUGAAUGGGUGGGAAGUCCGUCAAGGAACGUAUUUCCAAGAUGCAGUUAUUUCUAAGUAUGAUGCUGGAAUGGAUGCUAAAUUUGAGUUCACAGAAACUGGCGAUGCAGUUUUCUCAGGUUAUGUUUUCACCAGAGGAGGGUAUGUCGAAUUAUCAAAAAAGCUCUCUCUUCCUUUGGGUUACACUCUCGACAGGUAUGAAGGUCUGGUGCUUUCUGUUGGAGGAAAUGGAAGAUCCUAUGUUUUAAUUCUUGAAGCUGGCCCUUCAGCUGAUACAACUCAAAGCAAAUUGUACUUUGCAAGGAUUAGCACGAAAGUAGGAUUUUGUAGGGUCAGAGUGCCAUUUUCUUCCUUCCGUCCUUUGAAACCAGAUGAUCCACCAUUAGACCCAUUUCUUGUACACACGUUGACCAUACGCUUUGAGCCUAGAAGACAGAGACCUGUUGAAGGACCUUCUGGAGCAAAGCAAGAUCUUAGAAGCUUUAAACUAAUUUUGGAAUAUAUAAAAGCUUUGCCUACUGGGCAAGAAACAGAUUUUGUCUUAGUCUCAUGUACAGGAUUAGGAGUAGAACCUACCAGAAGGGAGCAAGUUUUGAAAGCCAAGAGGGCUGGGGAAGACUCGUUGAGGAGGUCAGGACUUGGAUACACGAUCAUUCGCCCUGGUCCUCUAAAGUGCAGGAAGAGCCUGGUGGCCAACGUGCGCUCAUAUUUGACCAAGGAAACAGGAUUUCUCAGGGAAUUAGCUGUGCUGAUGUGGCCGAUAUCUGUGUGAAGGCAUUGCAUGAUCCAACAGCAAGAAACAAAAGCUUUGAUGUUUGUUAUGAGUACGUUGCUGAGCAAGGGAGGGAGCUCUAUGAGCUGGUUGCACAUCUACCUGACAAAGCGAACAACUACUUGACACCUGCAUUAUCUGUUUUAGAGAAAAACACUUGACCAUCAUCCAAGGACCUCCUCCUCUUCCCCAAAGAAGCAUCGCCUAAGGGAUGGGGAUUGGAAGAGAACACAACCAAAAACGGGGGUAGGAGGGUUAUGAAACAUAUUUUCUUUUGUGUUUUGUGAAUUUUGUGAAUUUUGUGAUCGGCGGUUGUGAAUUGUGAUUAUAUAUGGCUCCAGGUGUUCUCCUGUUUGUAUAUUUAAUAUUCAUAUGUAGAUAACAUGUCGACGUCAAAAAUCAGUGGGGGGUAUUUUGACCUAAACAACUUUUUUUUAGGUGUAUAUGUUUUGCUUUUUGCAUAAAUAUGAAUCCUGAACAUAGUAAGAUUUUCUUUA